AUGAACGCUGGCGGCGUGCUUAACACCUGCAAGUCGAACGGAAAGGCCACAGCUUGCUGUGGUACUCGAGUGGCGAACGGGUGAGUAACACGUGGGUGAUCUGCCCUGUACUUCGGGAUAAGCUUGGGAAACUGGGUCUAAUACCGGAUAGGAAUCACAUGUGGGUGUGUGGUUGGAAAGCUUUUGCGGUAUGGGAUGAGCUCGCGGCCUAUCAGCUUGUUGGUGGGGUAAUGGCCUACCAAGGCGUCGACGGGUAGCCGGCCUGAGAGGGUGUACGGCCACAUUGGGACUGAGAUACGGCCCAGACUCCUACGGGAGGCAGCAGUGGGGAAUAUUGCACAAUGGGCGCAAGCCUGAUGCAGCGACGCCGCGUGGGGGAUGACGGCCUUCGGGUUGUAAACUCCUUUCGUCAGGGACGAAGCGAAAGUGACGGUACCUGGAGAAGAAGCACCGGCUAACUACGUG
rnacentral:rRNA from 1 species